GACGAACCGUGCGAACGUUGUUCGGAAUCACUGGGCUUAAAGGGCGCGUAGGCGGGCUGUCAAGUCUGGGGUGAAAUGCCGCGGCUCAACCGUGGAACUGCCUUAGAUACUGACGGCCUCGAGGGAGAUAGGGGCAUGCGGAACUGUAGGUGGAGCGGUGAAAUGCGUUGAUAUCGGAAGGAACGCCGGUGGCGAAAGCGACGUACUGGACCUCUUCUGACGCUGAGGCGCGAAAGCUAGGGGAGCAAACGGG
rnacentral:rRNA from 1 species